GGAAAAUGAAGGCAUGUAACUAAACCCAUCAUGAUGUCGUUUUCUUGCUAGUGCUUUGCUUCUCUCACAUAGUUCAUAUCUCCUUCAUUUCUUCCAUAUUUAGAGUGGUAUUAGUUUAUAUCUCCAAGCUUUUCUAUCAUUACAUUCUUUUCUUGGUAUUAGUUAUAUUUAGUUCUUUUCUCAAUGUAUCCUAGCUACUCAGUGUUUUAAGGAGCCG
rnacentral:misc_RNA from 1 species